rnacentral:rRNA from 1 species
UGGGGAAUAUUGGACAAUGGGCGAAAGCCUGAUCCAGCCAUGCCGCGUGUGUGAAGAAGGUCUUCGGAUUGUAAAGCACUUUAAGUUGGGAGGAAGGGCAGUAAGCGAAUACCUUGCUGUUUUGACGUUACCGACAGAAUAAGCACCGGCUAACUCUGUGCCAGCAGCCGCGGUAAUACAGAGGGUGCAAGCGUUAAUCGGAAUUACUGGGCGUAAAGCGCGCGUAGGUGGUUCGUUAAGUUGAAUGUGAAAGCCCCGGGCUCAACCUGGGAACUGCAUCCAAAACUGGCGUGCUGGAGUAGGGCAGAGGGUGGUGGAAUUUCCUGUGUAGCGGUGAAAUGCGUAGAUAUAGGAAGGAACACCAGUGGCGAAGGCGACCACCUGGGCUCAUACUGACACUGAGGUGCGAAAGCGUGGGGAGCAAACAGG